AAGAUGAAUCAUGAAACUAGUGGCUUAUAAGUUAUAAGAUAUAACUCCAGUCGACUCCAGUCUGUCUUCUAAUCAAUGGGCCUAUCAAUGGAUGCAAUGCAAAAUACAAAAUGCAAAUCUACCAAAGGCUAUUGACAAAAAGAAACGACGAAUAAUGACAACCAAAUUCUUGAUUAAUUACAAGAGAGAGAGAAAGAAAGAUAUACACUUUUGUUUAAAGUUUAUAACGGCAAUAUUUGAAAGAAAAGUGGGUGGGGAUAAUUCAAGAGGAAGAUGAUGAAACAUCCUAUCUGUGUCCACACUAAUAAUAAUCAAUCAAUAGACAAACUUCACAUGCCUAACAUUCCCCUUCACAUAAUUGUUUCUUUUUUUUUUUUCAUGAGAUUUCACAUGUGUUUUGGACAUGUGCUAUGAAUCAAACCUACUUUUGCAUCCAUGGGGACAAACCACAAAGUUCAAAGGUUUUUUGUAGAUACGUUUGGGGUAUAAGGAUUUUUUUUUCUUUAUGUAAUAUGUUAUCCAUGUGUUUGUUAAAAUUCUAGUUUAGGUAUAUUGAUUAAUUGUUCAUAAAAUGCUAAAUA